GCUUCCGGCACAGCGGAACUCCGGGUGCCGGUUGAGGUUGCUGGUGGACCUGCUCUGGUGGUCUUGGAUGAGGCCCCAUGAGCGCGGCGCCCCUGGUGGGCUACAGCAGCAGCGGCUCCGAGGAUGAGUCCGAGGACGGGAUGCGGACCAGGCUGGGGGAUGGGAGCCACCGUCGUGGCCACAGCCCCCUUCCCAGGCAGAGAUUUCCAGUACCUGACAGUGUGCUGAACAUGUUCCCGGGCACCGAGGAGGGGCCUGAAGAUGACAGCACAAAACACGGGGGACGGGUGCGCACCUUCCCCCACGAGCGAGGCAACUGGGCCACCCACGUCUAUGUACCAUAUGAAGCCAAGGAGGAGUUCCUGGAUCUGCUUGAUGUGUUGCUGCCCCAUGCCCAGACAUAUGUCCCCCGGCUGGUAAGGAUGGAGGCGUUCCACCUCAGCCUGUCCCAGAGUGUGGUUCUGCGCCACCACUGGAUCCUCCCCUUCGUGCAGGCUCUGAAAGCCCGUAUGACCUCCUUCCACAGAUUCUUCUUUACUGCCAACCAGGACCUUUAUUGGGCUUGAGGUCACUUCAGGGCAUGCCCAGUUCCUGGACCUGGUUUCAGAGGUGGACAGAGUCAUGGAGGAAUUCAACCUCACCACUUUCUACCAGGAUCCUUCUUUCCACCUCAGCCUGGCCUGGUGUGUGGGUGAUGCACGUCUCCAGCUGGAGGGGCA
rnacentral:sRNA from 1 species